rnacentral:rRNA from 1 species
AAAUGUUGGGUUAAGUCCCGCAACGAGCGCAACCCUUAUCCUUUGUUGCCAGCGAUUCGGUCGGGAACUCAAAGGAGACUGCCGGUGAUAAACCGGAGGAAGGUGGGGAUGACGUCAAGUCAUCAUGGCCCUUACGGCCAGGGCUACACACGUGCUACAAUGGCGCAUACAAAGAGAAGCGACCUCGCGAGAGCAAGCGGACCUCAUAAAGUGCGUCGUAGUCCGGAUUGGAGUCUGCAACUCGACUCCAUGAAGUCGGAAUCGCUAGUAAUCGUAGAUCAGAAUGCUACGGUGAAUACGUUCCCGGGCCUUGUACACACCGCCCGU